rnacentral:siRNA from 1 species
UGGAGAUGAAGACUAUUUCCCU